rnacentral:rRNA from 2 species
UACGUAGGUGGCAAGCGUUGUCCGGAUUUAUUGGGUUUAAAGGGUGCGUAGGCGGCCAAUUAAGUCAGUGCUGAAAUAUCCCGGCUUAACCGGGAGGGUGGCAUUGAUACUGGUUGGCUUGAGUGAAGUCGAAGUAGGCGGAAUUGACGGUGUAGCGGUGAAAUGCUUAGAUAUCGUCAAGAACACCGAUAGUGUAGACAGUUUACUAGGCUUUAACUGACGCUGAGGCACGAAAGUGUGGGGAUCAAACAGG